GGGGUUGUGGCUCAGUGGCAGAGCGCUUGCCUUGUACAUGUAGGCACUGGGUUCGAUCCUCAGCACCCCA
rnacentral:tRNA from 1 species